UGGGGAAUAUUGCACAAUGGAGGGAACUCUGAUGCAGCGACGCCGCGUGAACGAAGAAGGCUUUCGAGUCGUAAAGUUCUUUUAUAUGGGAAGAUAAUGACGGUACCAUAAGAAAAAGCCCCGGCUAACUACGUGCCAGCAGCCGCGGUAAUACGUAGGGGGCUAGCGUUGUCCGUAAUCACUGGGCGUAAAGGGUUCGCAGGCGGAAAUGCAAGUCAGGUGUAAAAGGCAGUAGCUUAACUACUGUAAGCAUUUGAAACUGCAUAUCUUGAGAAGAGUAGAGGUAAGUGGAAUUUUUAGUGUAGCGGUGAAAUGCGUAGAUAUUAAAAAGAAUACCGGUGGCGAAGGCGACUUACUGGGCUCAUUCUGACGCUGAGGAACGAAAGCGUGGGUAGCAAACAGG
rnacentral:rRNA from 1 species